AACUUUUCCAUUUUUUCUCGGUUCCUCUAAUUAUUUGGAAAACUACAUGACAGACUAGAUUCAAAAUACAACAGAAUAGAUCUCUUGUCAUUUUUACAUUAAAGUGAAACUAAUAUAUUAUUCCUCACUCCGCUUAGGAUCUAAAACCAAAUUCAAUAAAAGUGACGCAUACUAUGUUAUACAAUUAGAUAGCCAAGUUUUAGAGUUUUAAUUCAUCAUUUACUCUUUUUAUAAUGUUUAUAGUGGUGUUUUUUAUUUUUAAUCUGUUUGUUAUACUUUUUUAUGACUGUUUGAUUUUAUAGAAUUUUUAACUAAUGAAAAUAUGCAAUUAAUUAAUUCUAUCAUAAGUCCAGCAUCGUUUUAUACAUUUUUUUAUGAUUACAAAAAUAAAUGCAUUUAACGGUGGCCGACAUAUGAUAGUAUCUACACAAUAUAUUGCUCAAUAUUACCAGAAUAAUGCAGUAAACUUUAUUAAAAAUAUUAUUAUUAAACCUAAUAAACAUAGUAUUGUAUAAGUUAAGUUUAAAAUAAAUUAUUAGUUUUAGUUUUAAAAAUGUCAUGUAAAUAUUAUGAUAAGAAACGCAGUGUAAAAGACAGUUUAGUAAUAAUCAUAAAUCUUUCUUAAAUACAUUUUAUUUAACAACCAUUCAGGCUAACCUCUGUUUAGAAUAUCUUGUUUCUAGACUCAGAUUUGCUGAUAUAUGUUUUAUGUCUAAACUUGUAAAUAGCCUGAUAUCCUGUCCCGAAUUGCUGCAAUUUUUAAAUGUUCAUGUUCCUCAGUACUUGUGUUAUUGUUCUAUGUACUAUAUUCUCUAUUCAAAUUCACUAUUAACUUCUUACUACUACAAUAAUUCUAUUGAUCGUAACUCCCGAGAAUAAAAUGAUUCAUUAUUAAUGAGGUAAACAAAAUUAAUUUGUUUGGUAAAAGAGAUUUCAGAGUUGUAUUCCCCAAAACAAACUUAUAUUCAACUUAUAUUUUGUUUAGAUUUAGUAUUUUAAGUAAUCUUAUCAUAUAAAUAAAUUCGUAAUAUUAAUAUGUUCUCACUAACUCAUAACUAAAUACUAUUUGUGAAAUAACA